AAACUGUAUCAAUGUGACACUUUCACAGUAAUUCUUUGAAUCUUUGUCAUGCUUCAUAAAAGCUUUCACCCUCUAUCUUCUUAAAUAAAGCUAUAUCAUUAUUAAGCUU